GGCAAGUUUAAAGCCGUUGUACAGAAGCCGCCGACCCUAGCAAAAGAUGGCGGAAAAGGCUUCGGGAGUGAAGCGGGUGAAAAGGGCUUCGGGAGUGAAGCGGGUGAAAAAAUUUCAUGGUGAUCUCCCACUCAGCUACAUACUGGAUCUGACCCUAUUUAGCAUUUUCAAGACCAGGUUGACUAGAUGCUGCCAUCUGCUGUAAAGGCAUCGACAUACUCCAACCCAACUUAAUGAUAUUGUCAUGGUGGGCUCAGAUUUGAGUCAGAGGAGGGAACAGAAAAUGAUCAGCCAGAGCCAGCUUCAGAAGUGUUGACAAACAACAAGCAGCCAGUCCAGGUACCACCAGACAGACCGCUGCCUGAGCAAGCAAAGGAGUGUGGAUGAAGGUUGAAGUGCUGGAUUAGAAGCAGAGAUCUACGUUUUGGUCCUUCUUAGCUGGUGGAGUCUGAAAGAAGGUCUGACAUGUGGCACCAAUCCAGAAGAACUCUGAAUGGCUUAUACUGCUCUCUUUCAGUAAAAAAAAAAAGAUUAAAAAGAGAAACAAAAACAAAGCAAAACAAUGAGCAACUGCAGCUGAAAUUUCAAAAUGUUUCAUAUCUGAGGAACAUUAUGGUUGUUUAAUACAGUUAAGCAAAAGAGCUACAUAUU